AGCAGAGGUGAUUUCCAGGCAUGUUUUCACUCUGCAGAUAUAAUAACAGUCAACAGACUCUUCUAUUGGCUCCAGUCAGACCAACAUUGAUGCUUCAUAUGUUUGAUUCUAUGCAAACUCAGUGAGCUUCCUUGUUACUCAGCUAUAAAAACUUCCCAUCAGGCUGUCAGUGGAGUUCACAGCACGUCAGUUUCAACAUCAACCAUGUUUUCUGUAACUCUGCUGCUGCUGUUGGCAGCUGGAUAUGUGAAGUGUGAACAGUUGACACAGCCAGCCUCUGUGACUGUGCAGCCAGGUCAACGUCUGACCAUCACCUGUCAGGUCUCUUAUUCUGUUAGUGGCUACUGGACAGCCUGGAUCAGACAGCCUGCAGGGAAAGGACUGGAGUGGAUUAUAUUUGGAGGUGGUGGAUACAGCACAUACAUCAAAGAUUCCCUGAAGAACAAGUUCAGUAUCAAUUUCGACUCUUCCAGCAACACAGUGACUCUAAAUGGACAGAAUGUGCAGUCUGAAGACACUGCUGUGUAUUACUGUGCCAGAGAGCCACAAUAACACAAAUCAUCAGUAGACCUGAACAAAAACCCCUCAGUGCCUGAACACUUGUAACAUGAAGCCACCAGAGGAGGAGCCCUCAGACCACUAAUGAUCUCAACACCAGUUCACUGUUACAGUAAAGAGGAAAAGACACAUUCAACAAUGAUAAAGAAAAAGGAAUACAACAUAUUUCAUUAGAAUCCAAAAUAACACUAUUAUUGAAUGUAGCAGAGACAUUAUCUAAAAAGUGACUUCUCUGUGUGACUCACAAUUAAUGGACUAAUGAUGACAUUUUUUCAGCUCAUAAUUGUCUGAUAUCUAAAUUAUGUUCAGCGAUCUC